rnacentral:misc_RNA from 1 species
UUUAAGUUCCUCCUUUAAGGAGACAAUGGAGAUGGAAAGUGAUUGCAGUGCUGCAACUGCUUCCAGUUCUAUGGAGUUGGUGAAUCUGGACCCCAUGCUUUGUACCUCUACAAACGUCUCUGAAACUCACCAACGUCUUGUAACAUCUCCUGAUGAAGAGGCAAUGGCAAUUGAUACGAUAAGCUCUUGUGCAAGUAAUCUAUCAAGUCGUAGAGCUUGCCAAUCUACAGGUGAUUCGAAACAGCUACAAAGUCGG